rnacentral:tRNA from 1 species
GGCUCAGUGGCUCAGUGGAAAGAGCCCGGGCUUGAGAGUCAGAGGUCAUGGGUUUGAAUCCCUGCUUGGCCA